UGCGUAGGCGGAAAAUAAGUCAGUGGUGAAAUCCUGCAGCUCAACUGUAGAACUGCCAUUGAAACUAUUUUUCUUGAGUAUAGUUGAGGUGGGCGGAAUGUGUCAUGUAGCGGUGAAAUGCUUAGAUAUGACACAGAACACCGAUUGCGUAGGCAGCUCACUAAACUAUUACUGACGCUGAGGUACGAAAGCGUGGGGAGCGAACAGGAUUAGAUACCCUGGUAGUCC
rnacentral:rRNA from 1 species